rnacentral:tRNA from 1 species
UGAUAUUUAGCUCAGUGGUAGAGCACUUGCCUAGCAGGCAUGAGGCUCUGAGUUUGGUCCCCAGCAUUGCAA